rnacentral:rRNA from 1 species
UACGUAGGGUGCGAGCGUUAAUCAGAAUUACUGGGCGUAAAGCGUGCGCAGGCGGCUAUGCAAGACAGAUGUGAAAUCCCCGGGCUCAACCUGGGAACUGCAUUUGUGACUGCAUGGCUAGAGUACGGUAGAGGGGGAUGGAAUUCCGCGUGUAGCAGUGAAAUGCGUAGAUAUGCGGAGGAACACCGAUGGCGAAGGCAAUCCCCUGGACCUGUACUGACGCUCAUGCACGAAAGCGUGGGGAGCAAACAGG